UCAAUCACCAAAUUGGUAAUUUAUCCACAUAAUGAAUCCCACCACCACCCCCGCAUCUUACAAUCUCUCCUCCCCCACCACUAAUCAUGUCCUUCUCCCUCGUCGUCCCUUCCUCCACUUCACCACCAUCAAAUUGAAAAUUUGCAAUCUAGGGUCCCAAAAUGCAGAUAAAAUUGCUGGUGUUAAUGGUAUCGAGGUCACGGUCAAUGACAUGGUUAUCUUUGUAAUCGAGGUUCAAGUUUAGUUCGGCAUUUUUGGAAAUUGGCGUAUGUGUGGAGUUCAUUCUCAUCUUGCGCAUCCUUUGAUGGAGCCUACGAAUUUUGCGGAUGAGAACUAGGACUCAAUGGAGAGUACGAAACAGGUGUUGUUAGGGUUUGGUAAAACUCAAACUUGGGAAAGACACGGUCACAACGAUUCAUACAAUGCUUGCAAUGGGAGUUUGGAGAUUAUUGGUUGCUCAAGAAUGCUUGCAACGAGGCAUAAAUCACAAGAAUACGUGACGUUGAUGACAUAGUGAUAAUUUUUAAUCAUUAUUGUAUUAAAUUAAUUAUUUUAAAAUUUAAAACACUAAUAUUAUUAAGGUUAACCUUACAAAAGGACCAAAAUGAUAUAUAAUUUAGCCUUAAAAAAACAAAGACAUCUUAGCCGCCUCCUUCAACCUCCACAACUUGUUGAUUAUGCAGCGGGAGAUAUGCAUGCAUGUAAAUAUAUACGACUAACCAACGAAUAGAUUGGCCUGGCAUGUCUAACAUUUUUUGGCAAAACAAAGUAGGUGAUGUUAAAGUUAUUUACGGAGUUAUUGAUGGAAUUAGACGAAAUUAAUUGAAAUUACCGAUUUGUCGGUCUUGGUGGAAUUAGACGUAAUUACACUUGUUUAUUGAUUCUUA